rnacentral:rRNA from 1 species
AUACGGAAGGUCCGGGCGUUAUCCGGAUUUAUUGGGUUUAAAGGGAGCGCAGGCGGAGAUGCAAGCGUGACGUCAAAUUUCGGGGCUCAACCCCGUCUCGCGUCGCGAACUGCGUCCCUUGGUUGCGGGAAGGGGAGGCGGAACUCGUGGUGUAGCGGUGAAAUGCAUAGAUAUCACGAAGAACUCCGAUCGCGAAGGCAGCCUUCCGGCCCGUCAACGACGCUCAUGCUCGAAGGUGCGGGUAUCAAACAGGAUUAGAUACCCUGGUAGUCCACGCAGUAAACGAUGAUAACUAACCGCUGGGUCGUAGUGAUUCAGUGGCCAAGCGAAAGCGAUAAGUUAUCCACCUGGGGAGUACGACCGCAAGGUUGAAACUCAAAUGAAUUGACGGGG